rnacentral:rRNA from 1 species
AACGAACGCUGGCGGCAUGCCUAACACAUGCAAGUCGAACGAGACCUUCGGGUCUAGUGGCGCACGGGUGCGUAACGCGUGGGAACCUGCCCUUAGGUUCGGAAUAACUCCCCGAAAGGGGUGCUAAUACCGGAUAAUGUCUUCGGACCAAAGAUUUAUCGCCUUUGGAUGGGCCCGCGUUGGAUUAGCUAGUUGGUAGGGUAAAAGCCUACCAAGGCGACGAUCCAUAGCUGGUCUGAUAGAAUGAUCAGCCACACUGGGACUGAGACACGGACCAGACUCCUACGGGAGGCAGCAGUGGGGAAUAUUGGACAAUGGGCGAAAGCCUGAUCCAGCAAUGCCGCGUGAGUGAUGAAGGCCUUAGGGUUGUAAAGCUCUUUUACCCGGGAUGAUAAUGACAGUACCGGGAGAAUAAGCUCCGGCUAACUCCGUG